GGGCGCGUGGCUCAGCCUGGAUAGAGCGAUCGGCUUCGGACCGAUAAGUCAGGGGUUCAAAUCCUCUCGCGCCCA
rnacentral:tRNA from 1 species